GCGGUGUGGUGUGUCCUGGUACAGGGCACGGGCUUGGAGUCAGAUGGGGCUUGGCUUGAGUCCGCCAAGCUGCUGAUUAGUUAUACGACCUUGACAGAAGUGCUUAGACUCUUUUUUUCUUUUCUUUUUUUUAUUUUUAAAAAUAUUUUAUUUAUGACACACACACACACACACACACACACACACAGAGGCAGAGACACAGGCAGAGGGAGAAGCAGGCUCCAUGCAGGGAGCCUGACGUGGGACUUGAUCCCAGGACCCCAGGAUCAUGCCCUGGGCAGAAGGUGGGCGCUAAACCACUGAGCCACCCAGGGAACCCCUCCUUUUUUCUUUUAAAGAUUUAUUUAUUUUAGAGCUAGAGAGUGCAGGAGUCGGUGGGAGGGGCAAAGGGGGAGAGAGAGAGAGAGAGAGAGACUCCCCAAGGGGUGGGGAGCCCAACAUGGGACUGAAUCCCAGGACCCUGAGAUCAUGACCUGACCUGACCAAGAGUCGGCUGCUUAACCGACUGAGCCACUCAGGUGCCCCUGCUUAGACUCUGAGUAUGAGUUUCGUUCUCUGGAAAAUGGGGCACGAUAACAGGGCCUUUCCCAUCGUCAGUGGGUGGAUUCACUGGGGUCAGGAAGUGGGUAAAGUGGUGAACGCAGUGCCUGGCGCCUGGUCAGGCUCUAUCAACGGUACAGGAGCUGGUGGUGGUUGUAAUGGUUGAUUUUCCCAAUAACUCUGGGAGGAAGGUUCUGUUAUCCUGGUUUAUCAGAGGCAAAGAAAGUAGCAGGAGAGCUGGCAAAGCAGCAAGUGCCCGGCUGGUUCCAUUAUCUCUGGGCCGGAAUGGAACCCAAUGUGGCUGGGGAAGCGUGGCGCCCAGCUGUGCACGGGUCCGGCGCCCUGGGAGGCCCCGGUCAUUCCCCCGUCCCUGGGAGGCUCAGGACCCCUGCCCGGCCCGGCCUCCAGCACGGCCGGCAGCCCCUCCCCGGGCUGAGCAUCGCCAGCGGACCCCAACUGUGCCCGAAGAACAGAGCUUUGUGCAGCUCAGGAAAGAAACUUGAUUUGAAUGCUCUGGACUUGGGGGUCUCUGCUCCGUUCCCAGAAGCCCCGACUCCCACGGGAGUCCUUUGCCUUUAAACUGGUUGAGGACUCGGCCUUCUUCUUGCACCUGCUGGGACAGUUAGGCCGGGCCUGCCGGGCUGACCCUCCGCAGGGAUCCCGCCCUUCAGAUUCCCCCUCUGGGCUGCGUGGACAGGACCGGGCCGAGCGAGGCCCACGGUGCGCUUGCCGGGGCCUGAUGUGUGCGCCGUGACCGUCCAAAGCGUCCCCUCCCAAGCUGGGACAAGCUGGGUCUGACUGUGCUGCAGGUCACCCUGCGAGCCACUCGAAGACCGCUCUGGGAGCACAGAGGCAGAAAAGGAGAAGAAAAGACAAGAGACAAACACCCAGGGGCACCCGGGGGCUCAGUGGCUGAGCAUCUGCCUUUGGCUCAGUGCGUGAUGUGAUCCCAGGGUCCCAGAAUCGAGUCCCGCAUCAGGCUCCCCGCAGGGAGCCUGCUUCUCCCUCUGCCUGUGUCUCUGCCUCUCUCUCUGUGUCUCUAGUGAAUAAAUAAAAUCUUUUUUUUAUAAAUAAAAUCUUA
rnacentral:lncRNA from 12 species